rnacentral:tmRNA from 1 species
GGGGACGUUUUGGAUUUGACAGGACGUUCGGUGGAUACAGAUUGCGAGUCGGAGAGCUGUUCUCCGUUAUCAACGGGCAAACCAAAUUAAAUGCUAACAACAAUAAUGUAGUUAAAGGUGUAUUUGGUGCAGACAGAGCAUACGCUCUUGCAGCCUAAGCCUUUGAUGGUAUAGCUACUCAUAAAGCCCAGCUUGCCGGUUUUAUGGGUCCAUUAUGCAAGCGGCAGUGAACAAAUGACGAUAUGUUCAUCAAGAUUAAUCGUCAAAAGUUAGUGUUUCUUAAAAAAACACUUUGGGUUCGUAAAGGGUUUUGAUAUUUCCCGAGGACUUGAGCGAAUUAAUAUCUACACUCGUAGACGUUUGUUGAAAUCCGUUUUGGACAGGGGUUCGACUCCCCUCGUCUCCACCA